UUGACAUGUAGGUAGUAGUGAAGCGAAAGCGGAACGACCCUUCGGGGAGCCUACACAGGUGCUGCAUGGCUGUCGUCAGUUCGUGCCGUGAGGUGUNGGGUUAAGUCCCGUAACGAACGCAACCCUUGCCGUUAGUUAUAUGUGUCUAAGGGGACUGCCCGGGACAACUGGGAGGAAGGUGGGGAUGACGUCAAGUCAGCAUGGCCUUUAUGUCCAGGGCUACACACACGCUACAAUGGCCGGUACAAUGGGUNGCCAAGCCGUGAGGCGGAGCCAA
rnacentral:rRNA from 1 species